AGCAGUCGACCAAUGCCAUGAUAACAUGUAAGAGCUUCUCGGGGAAUCCCGCCAAACUAUGAAUAAAAGGUGAUGUUGCAAUCUGAAAAGGCGCACUUCUUCUUCGACUGGACUUGGAGAAGCUUUUGAGAAACUGGACAAAGUUUGAGACGUUGCAAUUCUUUUCUAUUCUGACGACAAUGUUUGAAAGUAUGGUCGCAGCAAUUGGUCUUGGGUGGACCAUUGCGAUAAUGGUUGCCGCUGUUGUGGUUGUUGUUAUUAUUAUCGUUUGCACCGUACAAGCCUGCAAAUCGUCCGGCGGUGGAAGUGGAGGGUGCAGUGACGGAAACUAUACUCGCGGGUCGUGCAGCCAGGGCUCUAAAUGUGUCAUCUUGUAAAGCAUUCUAACACAAAUGGCUAUGUAGAUAGCAGAUAUGGUGUGCUGGCAAAGCUGUGCGGUUUUCUACUCCAACCACAACAUACUGGGACUAAACGGGCGCGCUACAACAGCGGGGCUUGGACAAAAUGGGGGCAACGACAAAACAGAGGGGCACAUAUGGAUUGGGCAAAGCACCUGCUUUAUCGACAAGGAAUGGACAAACUGCAAUCAUAAACUUGCUUUAAAGACAACGGAGUUCUCAUCAAGAUGGCUAUAUCGUGGGAUCAGUCUACAAACAACAACUAGAGAACUUAAGAAACAUUUGUACAAGCCUCCUCUAUGUCCAAGUCUCAAAGCUUAAUAUGAAGUGUUGUGUGUGCUCUUUUGUCAGAUAUUAAGCACAUGUUCAGUUCUACUAACGUCGAUUAUACCUUGGCACAGUCAAUAGUACCAUUUCUUUUUCUAAUCAGGAGACCAUAUAUAAUGACGACUUUAAGUGAGUCUGAAUAAAUCACAAUAUGACCUGCUUUUGCUGAUAUAAGAAUCGCUAUAAUUGAAUAGUGUAGUUUUCAUAUUUGCAACAUAGGCAUGUGUGGGUGUAUCUGCGAGUUUUGUUGUGAAGAAAGAAAUAACUUUUGGCAUGGAAAUCUUCC